rnacentral:rRNA from 1 species
AAAAGCGUAACAAGGUUUCCGUAGGUGAACCUGCGGAAGGAUCAUUACAGUAUUCUUUUUGCCAGCGCUUAAUUGCGCGGCGAAAAAACCUUACACACAGUGUUUUUUGUUAUUACAAGAACUUUUGCUUUGGUCUGGACUAGAAAUAGUUUGGGCCAGAGGUUUACUGAACUAAACUUCAAUAUUUAUAUUGAAUUGUUAUUUAUUUAAUUGUCAAUUUGUUGAUUAAAUUCAAAAAAUCUUCAAAACUUUCAACAACGGAUCUCUUGGUUCUCGCAUCGAUGAAGAACGCAGCGAAAUGCGAUAAGUAAUAUGAAUUGCAGAUUUUCGUGAAUCAUCGAAUCUUUGAACGCACAUUGCGCCCUCUGGUAUUCCAGAGGGCAUGCCUGUUUGAGCGUCAUUUCUCUCUCAAACCUUCGGGUUUGGUAUUGAGUGAUACUCUUAGUCGAACUAGGCGUUUGCUUGAAAUGUAUUGGCAUGAGUGGUACUGGAUAGUGCUAUAUGACUUUCAAUGUAUUAGGUUUAUCCAACUCGUUGAAUAGUUUAAUGGUAUAUUUCUCGGUAUUCUAGGCUCGGCCUUACAAUAUAACAAACAAGUUUGACCUCAAAUCAGGUAGGAUUACCCGCUGAACUUAAGCAUAUCAAA